rfam:Clostridium sp. CAG:58 genomic scaffold, scf118
GCCGGUGCUUGAUAUAGAUCCGGAACCAGUGCCCGAAGGGCUGUCCUGGCCGGGGCGGCGAUGGCAGCCUUAAGAUGCCGUUGCCGUUUACAUA